rnacentral:rRNA from 1 species
UGCAGUCGAACGAGAUCCCUGAAUAGCUUGCUAAUUGGGGUGACAGUGGCGGACGGGUGCGUAACACGUGAGCAACCUGCCCUGAAGUGGGGGAUAGCUCUCCGAAAGGAGGAUUAAUACCGCAUGUGGUCUUCGGAUCAAAGACGGCUUCGGCUGUCGCUUCAGGAUGGGCUCGCGGCCUAUCAGCUUGUUGGUGAGGUAACGGCUCACCAAGGCAAUGACGGGUAGCUGGUCUGAGAGGACGAUCAGCCACACUGGAACUGAGACACGGUCCAGACACCUACGGGUGGCAGCAGUCGAGAAUCAUUCACAAUGGGGGAAACCCUGAUGGUGCAACGCCGCGUGGAGGAUGACGGCCUUCGGGUUGUAAACUCCUGUCAUCUGGGAGUAAGCUAUGUUCGUUAAUAGCGUGCAUAGUUGAUAGUACCAGAAGAGGAAGGGACGGCUAACUUCGUGCCAGCGGCCGCGGUAAUACGAAGGUCCCAAGCGUUGUUCGGAAUCACUGGGCGUAAAGCGUGCGUAGGCGGCAUGGUAAGUCAGAUGUGAAAUCUCUGGGCUCAACCCGGAAACUGCAUCCGAUACUGCCUUGCUAGAGUAAUGGAGGGGUAGCUGGAAUUCUCGGUGUAGCAGUGAAAUGCGUAGAUAUCGAGAGGAACACUCGUGGCGAAGGCGAGCUACUGGACAUUUACUGACGCUGAGGCACGAAGGCCAGGGUGGCGAAAGGGAUUAGAUACCCCUGUAGUCCUGGCAGUAAACGGUGUGCGCUUGGUGUGGGAGGAUUCGACCCCUUCCGUGCCGGAGCUAACGCGUUAAGCGCACCGC